rnacentral:rRNA from 1 species
UGAAUACGAGAUGCUACGGCGUCGAAGCAGUCUAUGUCAUACUUCCAAGAAAAGCUUGCACUGUCAUAAACAAAUAAUGCCUGUACCAUAACCGACACAGGUGGGUAGGUAGAGUAUACUAAGGGGCGCGAGAUAACUCUCUCUAAGGAACUUGGCAAAAUGACUCCGUAACUUCGGGAGAAGGAGUGCCUUAUUUAUAAGGUUGCAAUAACAAGAUCCAAGCAACUGUUUACCAAAAACACAGGUCUCCGCUAAGUCGUAAGACGAUGUAUGGGGGCUGACGCCUGCCCAGUGCCAGAAGGUUAAAGAAGUUGGUUAGCAUCCGCGAAGCUGAUAACUGAAGCCCUGGUGAACGGCGGCCGUAACAAUAACGGUCCUAAGGUAGCGAAAUUCCUUGCCGGGUAAGUUCCGACCCGCACGAAAGGCGUAAUGAUUUGGAUACUGUCUCGGAGAGGGGCUCGGUGAAAUAGACUUGUCUGUGAAGAUGCGGACUACCUGCACCAGGACAGAAAGACCCUAUGAAGCUUUACUGUAACCUGAAAUUGAAAUUGGACUUUACUUGCGCAGUAUAGGUGGGAGGCGUUGAGAAUAUUCUUGCGGGAUUAUUGGAGCCAUCAGUGAGAUACCACUCUUGUAAUGUUAGAUUUCUAACUUUGUAUCAUUAUCUGGUCAAAGAACAGUUUCAGGCGGGCAGUUUGACUGGGGCGGUCGCCUCCUAAACGGUAACGGAGGCGCACAAAGGUUUCCUCUGAACGGGUAGAAAUCGUAUCUAGAGUGUAAAGGCAUAAGGAAGCUUGACUGUGAGACCUACAAGUCGAGCAGGGACGAAAGUCGGUCUUAGUGAUCUGACGGUGCUGAGUGGAAAGGCCGUCACUCAACGGAUAAAAGUUACUCUAAGGAUAACAGGCUGAUCUCCCCCAAGAGUUCACAUCGACGGGGAGGUUUGGCACCUCGAUGUCGGCUCAUCGCGUCCUGGGGCGGUAGUACGUCCCAAGGGUUGGGCUGUUCGCCCAUGAAAGCGGUACGCGAGCUGGGUUCAGAACGUCGUGAGACAGUUCGGUCCAUAUCCGGUGUAGGCGUUAGAAUAUUGAGAGGAGCCUUCUUUAGUACGAGAGGACCGAGAAGGACAUACCUCUGGUGUACCAGUUAUCGUGCCAACGGUAAACGCUGGGUAGCUAUGUGUGGAGUGGAUAACCGCUGAAAGCAUCUAAGUGGGAAGCCCACCUCAAGAUAAGUAUUCCC